UACGAAGGGGGCUAGCGUUGCUCGGAAUCACUGGGCGUAAAGGGUGCGUAGGCGGGUUUUUAAGUCAGGGGUGAAAUCCUGGAGCUCAACUCCAGAACUGCCUUUGAUACUGAAGAUCUUGAGUUCGGGAGAGGUGAGUGGAACUGCGAGUGUAGAGGUGAAAUUCGUAGAUAUUCGGAAGAACACCAGUGGCGAAGGCGACAUACUGGUCCGUUACUGACGCUGAGGCUCGAAAGCGUGGGGAGCAAACAGG
rnacentral:rRNA from 1 species